rnacentral:rRNA from 1 species
AUGAACGCUGGCGGCGUGCCUAAUACAUGCAAGUCGAGCGAACAGACGAGGAGCUUGCUCCUCUGACGUUAGCGGCGGACGGGUGAGUAACACGUGGAUAACCUACCUAUAAGACUGGGAUAACUUCGGGAAACCGGAGCUAAUACCGGAUAAUAUAUUGAACCGCAUGGUUCAAUAGUGAAAGACGGUUUUGCUGUCACUUAUAGAUGGAUCCGCGCCGCAUUAGCUAGUUGGUAAGGUAACGGCUUACCAAGGCAACGAUGCGUAGCCGACCUGAGAGGGUGAUCGGCCACACUGGAACUGAGACACGGUCCAGACUCCUACGGGAGGCAGCAGUAGGGAAUCUUCCGCAAUGGGCGGAAGCCUGACGGAGCAACGCCGCGUGAGUGAUGAAGGUCUUCGGAUCGUAAAACUCUGUUAUUAGGGAAGAACAAAUGUGUAAGUAACUAUGCACGUCUUGACGGUACCUAAUCAGAAAGCCACGGCUAACUACGUG